rnacentral:lncRNA from 1 species
UUCAGUUACAGAAAGCCACCCAUUACUCUUCCAAAGAUCUUUGCUUUCAACUCUUUCCUCAAUCGAAAGCCAGUUUGCUUGGAUCAAGAAGCUUCGACCAGCCAAGAAGGAAGACAUUUGAGACUUGGAUUUUUAUAUGCUCCAUUUAUCUAUCAUUGAAGGUAGACAUAACUCUCCCAGAAACCUUGAUAUUUAGGUUUUGAUGGCAGUUAAUAGCAUCGAUCAGGCUCUGAGAUAGAGAGGUUGGACUGAAAACGAGUUGCUGGGGUGGGAAAGAGAAGAGGAGGGGUUCAAGAUUGUGGUGGACUUAGAGACAAUACACCAGGGCCUUGCCUAUUCCUAAUAAUCAGGGGAUGAAGAAGAGGAUGAAGAGCAGCAAUAUCAUUGUUCAGAUAGCCAAAAGUUUGAGGAGCAAAUUUUGUCUUCUUGGUGCCUCUUUU